UCCGGCAUGGUGUAGUGGCUAACAUUGCGCUCUCUCAUUGCAUUGAUUACGUCACGCUUAUGUAAUCAAUUGCGCCCAGCGCAGCCCAGGGUUCGAUUCCCUGUACCGGAA